UACAGAGGCCUCAAGCGUUGUUCGGAAUCACUGGGCGUAAAGGGUGCGUAGGCGGCGCGGAAAGUCAGGGGUGAAAUCCCGGAGCUCAACUCCGGAACUGCCUUUGAUACUCCCGCGCUUGAGAACUGGAGGGGAGAUCGGAAUUCACGGUGGAGCAGUGAAAUGCGUGGAUAUCGUGAGGAACACUAGUGGCGAAGGCGGAUCUCUGGACAGUAUCUGACGUUGAGGCACGAAGGCCAGGGGAGCGAACGGG
rnacentral:rRNA from 1 species